UACGUAGGGUGCAAGCGUUGUCCGGAAUAUUGGGCGUAAAGAGCUCGUAGGCGUUUGUCGCGUCGGCUGUGAAAACCUGGGGCUCAACCCGGGCCUGCAGCCGAUACGGGCAAACUAGAAUUCGGUAGGGGAGACUGGAAUUCCUGGGUGUAGCGGUGAAAUGCGCAGAUAUCAGGAGGAACACCGGUGGCGAAGGCGGGUCUCUGGGCCGAUAUUGACGCUGAGGAGCGAAAGCGUGGGGAGCGAACGG
rnacentral:rRNA from 1 species